GAAAGGCAAUCUGGCUGUUACAUCUAUCACCUAUUGAUCUUUCAGUUGAUUUUGCUUAUCUGAUUGGCUAGGUGAGAUCACCUUUCUCCCUCAACCCUCCAUCUGCAUCUCUCUCAAACCUCAAUCAAAAAGGAUGACCUUCUUGUAUAGAGCAGAAAUCAUCUUUAGUCAAGUUGUUGAUUUCUCUGGGUAUAAUUUCAAAACCAGCUCUGCUCUUU
rnacentral:sRNA from 1 species